rnacentral:rRNA from 1 species
GACGAACGCUGGCGGCGUGCCUAAUACAUGCAAGUCGAGCGGACAGAAGGGAGCUUGCUCCCGGAUGUUAGCGGCGGACGGGUGAGUAACACGUGGGUAACCUGCCUGUAAGACUGGGAUAACUCCGGGAAACCGGAGCUAAUACCGGAUAGUUCCUUGAACCGCAUGGUUCACGGAUGAAAGACGGUUUCGGCUGUCACUUACAGAUGGACCCGCGGCGCGUUAGCUAGUUGGUGGGGUAAUGGCUCACCAAGGCGACGAUGCGUAGCCUACCUGAGAGGGUGCUCGGCCACACUGGGACUGAGACCCGGCCCAGACUCCUGCGGGAGGCAGCAGUAGGGAAUCUUCCGCAAUGGACGAAAGGCUGACGGAGCAACGCCGCGGGAGUGAAGAAGGUUUUCGGAUCGUAAAGCUCUGUUGUUUGAGACGAACGUGCAAUUUUUGAAUAAGGAAUUGUAAUGACGGUAUUAAACGAGAAAGCCACGGCUAACUACGUGCCAGCAGCCGCCGUAA